GACGAACGCUGGCGGCGUGCUUAACACAUGCAAGUCGAACGGAAAGGCCCUGCUUUUGUGGGGUGCUCGAGUGGCGAACGGGUGAGUAACACGUGAGUAACCUGCCCUUGACUUUGGGAUAGCUUCAGGAAACUGGGGCUAAUACCGGAUAGGAGCUCCUGCUGCAUGGUGGGGGUUGGAAAGUUUCGGCGGUUGGGGAUGGACUCGCGGCUUAUCAGCUUGUUGGUGGGGUAGUGGCUUACCAAGGCUUUGACGGGUAGCCGGCCUGAGAGGGUGACCGGCCACAUUGGGACUGAGAUACGGCCCAGACUCCUACGGGAGGCAGCAGUGGGGAAUAUUGCACAAUGGGCGGAAGCCUGAUGCAGCAACGCCGCGUGCGGGAUGACGGCCUUCGGGUUGUAAACCGCUUUCGCCUGUGACGAAGCGUGAGUGACGGUAAUGGGUAAAGAAGCACCGGCUAACUACGUGCCAGCAGCCGCGGUGAUACGUAGGGUGCGAGCGUUGUCCGGAUUUAUUGGGCGUAAAGGGCUCGUAGGUGGUUGAUCGCGUCGGAAGUGUAAUCUUGGGGCUUAACCCUGAGCGUGCUUUCGAUACGGGUUGACUUGAGGAAGGUAGGGGAGAAUGGAAUUCCUGGUGGAGCGGUGGAAUGCGCAGAUAUCAGGAGGAACACCAGUGGCGAAGGCGGUUCUCUGGGCCUUUCCUGACGCUGAGGAGCGAAAGCGUGGGGAGCGAACAGGCUUAGAUACCCUGGUAGUCCACGCUGUAAACGGUGGGGUACUAGGUGUGGGGUCCAUUCCACGGGUUUCCGUGCCGUAGUUAACGCUUUAAGUACCCCGCCUGGGGAGUACGGCCGCAAGGCUUAAAACUCAAAGGAAUUGACGGGGCCCCGCACAAGCGGCGGAGCAUGCGGAUUAAUUCGAUGCAACGCGUAGAACCUUAACUUGGGUUUGACAUGGAUCGGGAGUGCUCAGAGAUGGGUGUGCCUCUUUUGGGGUCGGUUCACAGGUGGUGCAUGCCUGUCGUCAGCUCGUGUCGUGAGAUGUUGGGUUAAGUCCCGCAACGAGCGCAACCCUUGUUCACUGUUGCCAGCACGUUAUGGUGGGGACUCAGUGGAGACCGCCGGGGUCAACUCGGAGGAAGGUGGGGAUGACGUCAAGUCAUCAUGCCCCUUAUGUCCAGGGCUUCACGCAUGCUACAAUGGCUGGUACAGAGAGUGGCGAGCCUGUGAGGGUGAGCGAAUCUCGGAAAGCCGGUCUCAGUUCGGAUUGGGGUCUGCAACUCGACCUCAGAAGUCGG
rnacentral:rRNA from 1 species